CGGACCCGGUGCCGGGCCCUGACUCCCUGUCGGGCUCCCUUCUUUCGGUGCCACUUAAGAAAAAAAGAGUGGGAGUGAGGAAGGAGAAGAAGGAAAAGAAAAAAAAAUCCAUAUGGUCCGGUGCUGGGCACAGGUGGCCUCAUCUGUCGCAUCUCUGAAACGUCUGGAGGGAAGAAUGUGACGGUGAAAAGGCACACUAACCAAAGGAGGGAGCAGUGCCUUGGCCCAUUAAGUGAGGUCUGCUGGGCCCUACUUUACCUUGCUCCCCAGACUUGAAGAAACCGGGGCCCUGGACCUUCGAUCCCUACCACCACCACCCAUGAGGCGCUCCGAGAGGGACUAACCGCCAACAAGGCCCCUGACCCCAAGGCGCGGGAGGAAGCAGGGGCAGGCAGGAAUGUCAGCCAGGGCAGUCUCCUGUCCGUGAACACUGUGAAAGGCCAGCAGCUUCCCCUUCUGCUCCUUCUGCCCUCCUUGUCUCCACCCCAACAUGAUUUUUUGGGAUUAAGGGGGUGUGGGGGUCCUGAUUUGAGCCAGGAUAGUCUCCUAAGGUAGAGCUGGGUAGAGCACCCUACUGACUGAUAGAUCACAUCACAGGAGCUGAGGCUGAAGCACAACAGGGAUGAAUGGUGAGGGGGCUUCUUCAAACAGGAAGGCCUCGGUGUGGUCCAUACUGUGCGUCCCGAUGUGCCUCCCUCCUCAAUAAAGCACCUCUAGAGUCAAGUCCUCUGUGAUGCAGCCUGGGGGGAGGGGCUGACUGUGGGGCUUCUGGCCCAACACCCUUGAUUCUGGGGUCUUUCUAGCCAAGUGCUUUAUCUUCCUAGCACCAGCCCCUCUUGGAGACCUGGAAGGGGACCCCAGGGGAGUAGAGUGUGUGACUGAACAUCCGUGGGAACAAGUGCCUCGCCGAUGAGGUCUGUGGACUAGGAGUUGGGGACUGGGGGGAAGUGAGUAGAAUGUGAGCUCUGAGAAGUUAGCACUCCUGGCUUACUCACUGCUAUGCACUCAGGUGCUCCUCUGACACAAGAACAGGAUGAAUAGACACAGCCCCCAGCCCCACCCCGGACCGGGCCUGAUGAGGAGGCAGCAGAUUUCAGCUCAGCAGGAGGAAGAACUUCUCAAGAGUCGGACCUUGCAAGGAGCUCCGCAUGCCUGC